UACAGAGGGUGCAAGCGUUGUUCGGAAUUAUUGGGCGUAAAGGGCGUGUAGGCGGCUUGUUAAGUCUUCUGUGAAAUCUACGGGCUCAGCCUGUAACGUGCAGAGGAAACUGGCGAGCUUGAGUGUCGGAGAGGAUAGGGGAAUACCCGGUGUAGAGGUGAAAUUCGUAGAUAUCGGGAGGAACACCGGUGGCGAAGGCGGCGAUCUGGGUCGAUACUGACGCUGAGGUGCGAAAGCGUGGGGAGCAAACAGG
rnacentral:rRNA from 1 species